rnacentral:rRNA from 1 species
GGUGAGUAACACGUGGAUAACCUACCUAUAAGACUGGGAUAACUUCGGGAAACCGGAGCUAAUACCGGAUAAUAUUUUGAACCGCAUGGUUCAAAAGUGAAAGACGGCCUUGCUGUCACUUAUAGAUGGAUCCGCGCUGCAUUAGCUAGUUGGUAAGGUAACGGCUUACCAAGGCAACGAUGCAUAGCCGACCUGAGAGGGUGAUCGGCCACACUGGAACUGAGACACGGUCCAG